UGUGUGUAUAUAUAUAAUUAGGUUACUAUACUAUUAAUAGCACCAAAUUAUACAUUGAUACUAUUAGGUUUUCGAUUCUUAAAUGAAAGAAAUAUACGGUUAGAAUGAUAAUAAUCUCAUAGGGUUGAGUGGUAGUUGAUUGAAUAGUAUGAUUUAACAGGUAAAAAUAAUUAAAGAGCUGAAUAAAUAUAACAACAUAAAAUUUGAUAGUACUUAGUUGAUAACAUAGUAGCCGAACUAUACGCAAAAUUUAUUGUCUAAAUGAAUAAAACAGGUAGCGUACUAUAUUUUUCUCAAAAAAAAAAAAAAAAA
rnacentral:lncRNA from 1 species